GAUGAACGCUGGCGGCGUGCCUAAUACAUGCAAGUCGAGCGAACGGACGAGAAGCUUGCUUCUCUGAUGUUAGCGGCGGACGGGUGAGUAACACGUGGAUAACCUACCUAUAAGACUGGGAUAACUUCGGGAAACCGGAGCUAAUACCGGAUAAUAUUUUGAACCGCAUGGUUCAAAAGUGAAAGACGGUCUUGCUGUCACUUAUAGAUGGAUCCGCGCUGCAUUAGCUAGUUGGUAAGGUAACGGCUUACCAAGGCAACGAUGCAUAGCCGACCUGAGAGGGUGAUCGGCCACACUGGAACUGAGACACGGUCCAGACUCCUACGGGAGGCAGCAGUAGGGAAUCUUCCGCAAUGGGCGAAAGCCUGACGGAGCAACGCCGCGUGAGUGAUGAAGGUCUUCGGAUCGUAAAACUCUGUUAUUAGGGAAGAACAUAUGUGUAAGUAACUGUGCACAUCUUGACGGUACCUAAUCAGAAAGCCACGGCUAACUACGUGCCAGCAGCCGCGGUAAUACGUAGGUGGCAAGCGUUAUCCGGAAUUAUUGGGCGUAAAGCGCGCGUAGGCGGUUUUUUAAGUCUGAUGUGAAAGCCCACGGCUCAACCGUGGAGGGUCAUUGGAAACUGGAAAACUUGAGUGCAGAAGAGGAAAGUGGAAUUCCAUGUGUAGCGGUGAAAUGCGCAGAGAUAUGGAGGAACACCAGUGGCGAAGGCGACUUUCUGGUCUGUAACUGACGCUGAUGUGCGAAAGCGUGGGGAUCAAACAGGAUUAGAUACCCUGGUAGUCCACGCCGUAAACGAUGAGUGCUAAGUGUUAGGGGGUUUCCGCCCCUUAGUGCUGCAGCUAACGCGUUAAGCACUCCGCCUGGGGAGUACGACCGCAAGGUUGAAACUCAAAGGAAUUGACGGGGACCCGCACAAGCGGUGGAGCAUGUGGUUUAAUUCGAAGCAACGCGAAGAACCUUACCAAAUCUUGACAUCCUUUGACAACUCUAGAGAUAGAGCUUUCCCCUUCGGGGGACAAAGUGACAGGUGGUGCAUGGUUGUCGUCAGCUCGUGUCGUGAGAUGUUGGGUUAAGUCCCGCAACGAGCGCAACCCUUAAGCUUAGUUGCCAUCAUUAAGUUGGGCACUCUAAGUUGACUGCCGGUGACAAACCGGAGGAAGGUGGGGAUGACGUCAAAUCAUCAUGCCCCUUAUGAUUUGGGCUACACACGUGCUACAAUGGACAAUACAAAGGGCAGCGAAACCGUGAGGUCAAGCAAAUCCCAUAAAGUUGUUCUCAGUUCGGAUUGUAGUCUGCAACUCGACUACAUGAAGCCGGAAUCGCUAGUAAUCGUAGAUCAGCAUGCUACGGUGAAUACGUUCCCGGGUCU
rnacentral:rRNA from 1 species